UCUCUCAAUCUCUCUCUCUCAGCCCCUCCCCCACCCUUGCUCCUUUUGCAAUCCUGGGAAAGUGAGUGAUCUUUUAGGAAAUUAUGUAUAUAUUUGUCUCUCAAACUAUGAUGUAAUGGAUAGUGGAUGGUAAGAUACUUUUUGGGGGCAUGUUGGGGAGUCUCAGCAUGGCUACUGACUAGUGGGCGGUGACAAAGGUGGUGGAAAGAAGAAAGAUGUGAUCAUUCCAAAGCUCCUAUUAAAAAGAAAAGGAAGCCAAACUUUCCCUCGGGAUAGGUUUCCUCCCCUUUGUGCAGUCCUGCAUUGCAUGUGUCGUUCCAAUAGGUUCAACAUUUAUUAAUACUUGUAGCACCAGAAAAAAGCUCUCUUCCCUCACGUCCACACCUCCUUGUUUUCACCAUGACAGGCCAUGGGCUCAUACACCCACAUUCCCAUCAAAAGAAUAACUCAUUUUCAAAGUAUUUUUGUACCUAAAAUGUCAGCUACUAUACUAUAUAAACCUGCGUCCGUAGUGUAUAUAAAAUAGUCACACAUAUGUAGAUGAAUAAACAAACAGAAGAAACAUGCAUGAGGUCCCUUUGCAUGCCACUGCCCCCCAAAUAUUCCCUGCCUUUUCUUCCUUUCCAU
rnacentral:lncRNA from 1 species